rnacentral:rRNA from 1 species
AUUGAACGCUGGCGGCAGGCUUAACACAUGCAAGUCGAACGAGUGGCGGACGGGCGAGUAAUGCUUGGGAAUCUAGCUUAUGGAGGGGGCUACCUACGGGCAACUGUAGCUAAUACCGCGUACCAUAGGAUGAGCCCAAGUGGGAUUAGGUAGUUGGUGAGGUAAAGGCUCACCAAGCCGACGAUCUCUAGCUGGGCUGAGAGGAUGACCAGCCACACGGGGACUGAGACACGGCCCAGACGCCUACGGGAGGCAGCAGGGGGGAAUAUUGCGCAAUGGGGGCAACCUGACGCAGCCAUGCCGCGUGAAUGAAGAAGGCCUUCGGGUUGUAAAGUUCUUUCGGUAGCGAGGAGUUAACUACAGAAGAAGCACCGGCUAACUCCGUGCCAGCAGCCGCGGUAAUAC